rnacentral:lncRNA from 1 species
UACUCUGCUGCUAUCCUGGAGUACCUGACAGCUGAGGUUCUGGAGCUGGCUGGGAACGCCAGCAAGGAUCUCAAGGUCAAGCGUAUCACCCCUCGUCACCUCCAACUGGCCAUCCGUGGAGACGAGGAGCUCGACACCCUCAUCAAGGGCACCAUUGCUGGUGGAGGUGUGAUCCCGCACAUCCACAAGUCCCUGAUCAACAAGUCCUCCAAAGAGUGAACAGAAAAAAUAGCAAAGGAGCAUCUCUAGCUUGAACUGGACAUUUUCUCAGUCGUCUGUCAGAUAAGUUUAUCGUCGUGUCAUUUAGUGUUUAGCUGUGCUCCUUCCAGAUCGAAGUCGUUGUCUGUCUGUGUAAUGUUUACCUGGUACUGAUUCAGUCAUUUGGACAUGGUGUUUAUGUUCGUUCGUUGACUCUGUGAUUGGACUCUGAAUGCAAAAACCUUUUAAACAUGUUCUGAGUAUUUGUUGUUUGUCUCCAUCAGCGUCCUCUGGUAGCUGUUUUUGUUCUGGUUUUUUCUUGAGUUGGUUUUUGUUAUCGGUUUUUUCAAGUUGGUUUUUAUUCUUGUUUUGUCAGUAUAGCCCAGUGGAAGGGGCUCAAGUCUAGAGCAGACAAAUUAGGGAUGCAAAUCUGUGACCCUGGAGGGUACCCAUUUGGGCCCUUAAUUCUAGGCUGCAGAUAUUUAUUUUGUCGGUCUACAACCGUUGAAUGAUUGAUUCUGCUGCAGCAGUGUGCUGCUGUGUGUUCAGUAUGCAUGGCUGAUCCUAACCAGAUGCAGUAAUCAUCGGUGACGCACAAGUGCUGUUCGCUUGAGUAGCUCUUGGGUGACUAGACAAGACCCAUACUUAAACAAUUUAUUUACAUUGUUG